rnacentral:sRNA from 1 species
GCUGCCUCGUGGUGCGGGUGGAAGCCGCAUGCCUGGGAGCUUCUGUGGGGUCCUGUCUGGCUUAGUCACGAUGCUGAGGUCAUAGACUAAUUUAUUUCCUGCCACUCUCCAAGGAGGGCCUCUUCAUGGAUGUUAUCUAAAGUAUUACCAAAGAUCCGGAAGGGAAGGGUAGAUUGAGUGAAUCGUAUGUGUUUAACUGUAUUGAAAACAUACUUUCUACCUGUGACCCGCACUACCUGUUACUGAUGGGUUCUGGCCUUUCAUUGUGCAUGUAGACUAUGUGAAAGGGUUUGGAGGAAAAUUUGGUGUGCAGACAGACAGACAAGACAAAUGUGCCCUUGGCUGGGAUCACCAGGAGAAAUUGCAGCUGCAUGAAUCCCAAAAAGACUACUCCAAAGGAUUCGGCGGGAAGUAUGGGGUGCAGAAGGAUCGGAUGGAUAAGAAUGCGUCCACCUUUGAGGAUGUCACCCAGGUGUCCUCUGCCUACCAGAAGACAGUACCUGUCGAAGCUGUGGCCAGCAAAACAAGUAACAUCAGAGCUAACUUUGAAAACCUCGCUAAGGAGAAAGAGCAGGAGGACAGGCGGA